GAUGAACGCUGGCGGCGUGCCUAACACAUACAAGUCGAACGGAGUCCAGCCUUUAAGACCUUCGGGUCAAAGAGGGGAAGACUGAGUGGCGGACGGGUGAGUAACACGUGGGCAACCUGGCUCAUAGAGGGGGAUAACAGAGAGAAAUUUCUGCUAAUACCGCAUAAGCACACACUGCCGCAUGGCAGAGGGUGAAAAGAGAAUCGCUAUGAGAUGGACCCGCGUCUGAUUAGCCAGUUGGCAGGGUAAGAGCCUACCAAAGCGGCGAUCAGUAGCCGAUCUGAGAGGAUGAACGGCCACAUUGGGACUGAGACACGGCCCAAACUCCUACGGGAGGCAGCAGUGGGGGAUAUUGCACAAUGGGGGGAACCCUGAUGCAGCGACGCCGCGUGAGUGAAGAAGUAUUUCGGUAUGUAAAGCUCUAUCAGCAGGGAAGAUAAUGACAGUACCUGAAUAAGAAGCCCCGGCUAACUACGUG
rnacentral:rRNA from 1 species